rnacentral:rRNA from 1 species
AGUGAACGCUGGCGGUAGGCCUAACACAUGCCAGUCGAACGGCAGCACAGUAAGAGCUUGCUCUUACGGGUGGCGAGUGGCGGACGGGUGAGGAAUACAUCGGAAUCUACUUUUUCGUGGGGGAUAACGUAGGGAAACUUACGCUAAUACCGCAUACGACCUACGGGUGAAAGCAGGGGAUCUUCGGACCUUGCGCGAUUGAAUGAGCCGAUGUCGGAUUAGCUAGUUGGCGGGGUAAAGGCCCACCAAGGCGACGAUCCGUAGCUGGUCUGAGAGGAUGAUCAGCCACACUGGAACUGAGACACGGUCCAGACUCCUACGGGAGGCAGCAGUGGGGAAUAUUGGACAAUGGGCGCAAGCCUGAUCCAACCAUACCGCGUGGGUGAAGAAGGCCUUCGGGUUGUAAAGCCCUUUUGUUGGGAAAGAAAAGCAGCAGGUUAAUACCCCGCUGUUCUGACGGUACCCAAAGAAUAAGCACCGGCUAACUUCGUG